rnacentral:lncRNA from 1 species
GAUGGCCAAGGCAGGCAGCUUGGUUUCCUUGGUUUCCUUUCGUUCUGGAUUUAUUUCUAUCUUUUUAUUAUAGAUAAUAGUUCUGUGGGUACGUGCUAGUGACCUCGAAGUUCCCUGUAGGUGGAGUUACAGAUGGCUGUGAGCUGCCUGCCAUGGGUCCUGGGAACUGAACUCUGGUCCUCUGAAAGAGCAGUACAUGCUCUUAAUCAUUGAGUCAUCUCUCUAGCUCCACAUUUUAUUUUUCCCUUAAGUGAAAUGCAGUAACCCCUGGCUGGCGCUUGGUUACCCGAGGUCAACAGAGAUCUGAAAAUAUUACUGUACAACUAGGCAUUUGUGGGAGAGAGAGGCAGAGACCAUAUUUCCAUGAUGUUUUUUUUUUUUUACUACGGUAUAUUGUGAUUAUUGUAUGUAUUAAUUGUUUAUACACCAUGCUCCUAUCACAGAUGUGUAUGUAUAGGAAGAAAAUGGAAUAUAUAGAGAAGGAUACUAUUUGUGUAUUUAGGUGCCUACUAAGGGUCUUAGAACUACUGUAUUCCAGUAUAUUCUAUGUUAAAUUUUUUGACAUAGCAUUUUGGGGUGUGUGUGUGUGUGUGUGUGUGUGUUUGCAAAGUGUGUGAAUGACCACAGGCCUUACCUGUUCAGUGUGAAUGAAGCUACCUCCCUUCAAACAAGUUAUUUAAGCCAAAAUCUCAUGUUUUCUACCACUAAUGAUUGAAUUAAUGUUAUCUCCCUAAGUUUUCUUUGUCAUAAGGAUAAAGCCCUGUGGACUAUAACUUUAGUUUAGAGUCUUUGGUAAGCUUGGUGUCUAGUCUGGUUUCUAGGUGAAUGUAUGUAUUUUUGUCCAAAAGGGAUUAGUAAACAUGUCUUCAGUACAGCCACACUUGGGAAAAUAAACAUUAGAAAAUUUGAAAGUCAACAACACAUGGUGCCUUGCAUCUGCUAAGUUGUAUCCCAAAAGGAGAAAAUUUUGUACCUGUGGCAAAUUUGCAUGCCAAGUGUGCAUGUCAUUUGCAUAUUCGUAUUUUAGUUAGUAACGAACAAACAGAAAGUAAAUGUUAGCUGUGCAGCUGGCUGUUGUUUCUAGGUCUAUGUAUAUUUUUUUGUUGCUGACAGAUUGCCAUAGGAAAAGAUGUAAAAUGGGCAGAAGCCCGAGAUGGGGGUAGGGGUGGGGUCACUUGGUAUGGUAGCUGGACGUAGGAACACCAUUGUUUCAUACGCUGUACUGAAUGCUUUCAUGUCUUAGUUUAAUUUAUACUAUUUAAUAUCAAGACAAUCUUCAGGCUUUUAAUAAAACAAAUCUAAAUAGAGACCAACAAGAUUAAGUAAAAAUUGCUUUUAUUCCAGUAACUACUAUCCAAUUGCCCUCAAUUUAACAAAAUAGUAUUAGAAUGCUUUAUAAAGGUUUUUUGUUUGUUUGUUUGGGUUUUUUUGGUUUUGUUUAUUUGUUUGUUUUUGGUUUUGUUUUGUUUUGGCUUUUGAGACAAAGAUUUUCUGUGUAGCCUAGCUGUCCUGGAACUCACUUUGCCAACUUGGAACUCACUUUCUUGACUAGGCUGACCUUGAACUCAGAGAUCUGCUUGCCUCUGCCACCAGAGUGCUGGGAUUAGAGGAGUGAGCUACCACUUACAAAGUAUUUCUAUUUAUCAUUAUUUAUCUCUGAAGUAUCCUUACUUAUCUUUAUUCUACUACUGUAGCAGUAUAAACAGUGUUAAGGAGCAAUCUUGUAACUAAAAGUCAAAUUCAACGUACAUUGUUAAAAUGCAACUUUGUAUUAGAAAGAGAAACAAGUGACAGAACCUCCCACUUUCUCCUGGUGGCACUAUGCCACUGCCACCACAUCGCCUGGGCAUCAUUUUAAGGAAUACUUUCUCUUCACUUUGCUUAGAGAUAGAUGUUGGCAAUCUUCUUGAUUCAUCCAUCUUACCUGUUCUCAGCUACUGGCAUGCAUUAUGCAAGGCCUAGAUCAUUCUGUCCUGCCACAGUUUGAUGCAUAUUGAAGUUAUUGUAGAAGACUUCCUGUAAUUUGUUGAUCAACUCUGAUAUCCAGGCCAGAAAGGAAUAUUGGCAUGCUUGAAAUAUCAGUUCUUUCUGAUAUGCUAUUUAGGCCUGAAACUGCCUUGCCUCUCCAAAUAUUCCUUAACCACUUUAAUACCAAUAAACACUAAUUGU